rnacentral:rRNA from 1 species
GAUGAACGCUGGCGGCGUGCCUAAUACAUGCAAGUCGAGCGAACGGACGAGAAGCUUGCUUCUCUGAUGUUAGCGGCGGACGGGUGAGUAACACGUGGAUAACCUACCUAUAAGACUGGGAUAACUUCGGGAAACCGGAGCUAAUACCGGAUAAUAUUUUGAACCGCAUGGUUCAAAAGUGAAAGACGGUCUUGCUGCCACUUAUAGAUGGGUCCGCGCUGCAUUAGCUAGUUGGUAAGGUAACGGCUUACCAAGGCAACGAUGCAUAGCCGACCUGAGAGGGUGAUCGGCCACACUGGAACUGAGACACGGUCCAGACUCCUACGGGAGGCAGCAGUAGGGAAUCUUCCGCAAUGGGCGAAAGCCUGACGGAGCAACGCCGCGUGAGUGAUGAAGGUCUUCGGAUCGUAAAACUCUGUUAUUAGGGAAGAACAUAUGUGUAAGUAACUGUGCACAUCUUGACGGUACCUAAUCAGAAAGCCACGGCUAACUACGUG